AUUGAACGCUGGCGGCAGGCCUAACACAUGCAAGUCGAGCGACCGGCGGAUGGGUGAGUAAUGGAUAGGGACUGCUAGAUAGAGGGGGAUAACUGCUGGAAACGGUAGUAACUACUGCGUACUAUCGGAUUAGCUAUAUGGGAUUAGCUAGUGGGUGAGGUAAUGGCUUACCUAGGCAACGAUCCCUAGCUGGUCUGAGAGGAUGAUCAGCCACACGGGGACUGGGACACGGCCCAGACUCCUACGGAGGCAGCAGUGGGGAAUAUUGCACAAUGGGCGCAAGCCUGAUGCAGCCAUGCCGCGUGUAUGAAGAAGGCCCUAGGGUUGUAAAGUACUUUCAGUCGGGAGGCGUUACCGACAGAAGAAGCACCGGCUAACUCCGUGCCAGCAGCCGCGGUAAUUC
rnacentral:rRNA from 1 species